GGAUGAGGUGUGGAUAGCGGAGAAAUUCCAAUCGAACCCGGAGAUAGCUGGUUCUCCUCGAAAUAGCUUUAGGGCUAGCCUCAUGAGAGUCUUAUGGAGGUAGAGCACUGAAUUGCCUAGGGGGCGUCAAAGCUUACCAAAGCAUAUCAAACUCCGAAUGCCAUCAAGAUGAUUCAUGGGAGUCAGACCAUACGAGAUAAGUUGGAUGGUCAAAAGGGAAAGAGCCCAGACCUACAGCUAAGGUCCCAAAGUACGUGUUAAGUGGAAAAGGAUGUGGGGAUUCUAAGACAACUAGGACGUUGGCUUAGAAGCAGCCAUUCAUUGAAAGAGUGCGUAAUAGCUCACUAGUCGAGAGUCCCUGCGCCGAAAAUGUCCGGGGCUGAAACACGACACCGAAGCUUAGGAAUGUGUAAACAUUGGUAGAGGAGCAUUGCUGGCGGGAUGAAGCCAUACCGUAAGGAGUGGUGGACUGCCAGGAAGAGAGAAUGCCGGAAUGAGUAGCGAGAUGAAGGUGAGAAUCCUUCAGGCCGAAUAUCUAAGGUUUCCAGAGUAAAGCUGAUCUGCUCUGGGUAAGUCGGGACCUAAGGCGAGGUCGAAAGACGUAGUCGAUGGAUAACAGGUUGAAAUUCCUGUACCGCAUAUAAACAGAACUGUGGGGACACAGACAGGGAAUGGAAUCCGGGAAUGGAUAUCCCGGUGCAAGCGAGGUAGGAGUGCUGUUGGCAAAUCCGCAGCACGAUCUGAAGACGUGACGCGUACCGAACAUAAGUAGGGAAGUCCAGGCCCCUGGCUGUCAAGAAAAGCCGCUAUUGUUUUAUAUGUGCCCGUACCGCAAACCGACACAGGUGGAUGAGGAGAGAAUCCUAAGGCCGACGGGAGAAGUAUUGUUAAGGAACUCGGCAAAAUGACUCCGUAACUUCGGGAGAAGGAGUGCCAUGAGAGUGGCCGCAGAGAAAUGGCCCAAGCAACUGUUUAGCAAAAACACAGGUCUAUGCAAAACCGCAAGGUGAAGUAUAUGGGCUGACGCCUGCCCGGUGCUGGAAGGUUAAGGGGAGAGGUUAGCGCAAGCGAAGCUUUGAACUUAAGCCCCAGUAAACGGCGGCCGUAACUAUAACGGUCCUAAGGUAGCGAAAUUCCUUGUCGGGUAAGUUCCGACCC
rnacentral:rRNA from 1 species